rnacentral:lncRNA from 1 species
GUCAGUUACAAAUAUGGCGUUUUGGACGGGCUCGAUAGUUUGCUUGGCCUCUACUCAAGGAAUGCUGAUGGUAUAGCAAGAAGGUAUUCUGAGCAUUAUAUCAAUGGGGAAGUUCUAGAUCUUUUGCAAAGCAGGAGAGUCAUCCUAGGGCAUCCAGAGGCCUUCAGGGUGGCCUGAAGUCUCCCACCGCACCACCUUUGGGUUAACCUAGCCUGUCCCACAGAAGAUGAUGAAGUUGGGUCUGGAGGCAAGCUGACUCAGAUGGAUUCUCGAUUUUAUGAUGCUGGACUGGAGAUGGGUUUCACCAUGUUGCCCAAGCUAGUCUCGAACUCGUGGACUCAAGCAAUCCACCUGCCUCAGCCUCCCAAAGUGCCUUACAGGCGUGAGCCACCGCACCUGGCUGAACUGUCCCUUCACACUUACCUUCAGUCCUGGAGGGAGGACCUCUUGCUUGUGGAUCUGGAUGACAGUGAUACUCACAAGUACCACAAUACUCACAAGCAAGACCACCAAGGCAAUGAUGGUUGGAGUUCGGUAGAGGGCCUUGAGGCCUAAAAUGAGAAGACCCAGAAGACACUUGAGGGGGAGGUAAAAACCAGGCACUGGUAUUCUUUGUAGAAUUGAUGGACUGGCCCCAUAAUCAGGUGCAUAAACCACCUUCUCUGGUGUUAGCGAGACCCACACUUCUAAGAUGGAGUAGCAAAUAAGCUCCCCUUCUCCCCAG